rnacentral:piRNA from 1 species
CAAACGGUCAGGAAUGUAAAGUUC